UACGUAGGUGGCAAGCGUUGUCCGGAUUUAUUGGGCGUAAAGGGCGCGUAGGCGGCCACCGCAAGUCGACUGUGAAAUCUCCGGGCUUAACUCGGAACGGUCAAGUGAUACUGUCGUGCUAGAGUACAGAAGGGGCAACUGGAAUUCUCGGUGUAGCGGUGAAAUGCGUAGAUAUCGGGAGGAACACCGAUGGCGAAGGCAGCCCCCUGGGUCAAGAUUGACGCUCAUGCACGAAAGCGUGGGGAGCAAACAGG
rnacentral:rRNA from 1 species